rnacentral:rRNA from 1 species
UACGUAGGGGGCAAGCGUUGUCCGGAAUCAUUGGGCGUAAAGAGCGUGUAGGCGGCUUGGUAAGUCCGCUGUGAAAGUCCAGGGCUCAACCCUGGAAUGCCGGUGGAAACUGUCAAGCUUGAGUCCGGAAGAGGCGAGUGGAAUUCCUGGUGUAGCGGUGAAAGUGCGCAGAUAUCAGGAGGAACACCAAUGGCGAAGGCAGCUCGCUGGGACGGUACUGACGCUGAGACGCGAAAGCGUGGGGAGCAAACAGG